CCAGCGAGCAGAACGGCCCUCGCUCUCCACCCCUUGUGUUGGCUCCACGUCUCUCCACUUCCCUUGGCUCCUCAUCUCCAAGAACGCAUCAAGAAUGCAGCGGCCAGAUUAUGUGCAGCAUGUUCCCCUUCUCCUUCCACUCUUUUUUCCAAUAAAUUUGGCCUCCGCUGCUGCAUCUCUUUGGUUCGCCUAUCAAAUCUGCACCUGUGCGAGUCGCCUCCUCCUGCGCUCACCAGUCCGCCUCUGGGGAACGCCAUGGGGCAAGGAUGCUGUCCGCCGCCGUGGGCCAUGUCGAGGAGCACCGCUGGAGAUCAGGAGGGACAACUUCAUUGCAUUCAGAGUUUCAGACUAUUGGAUCUGCGAGGCACCAGCAACAGUGUUGAAUAUGAAGAGGCCUACAUCUUUCUGAUGAUGCUCUCCAGCAGAUUAUGGACAAGGCAGUCAAGUAGGUGGACUUGAACAACAAUAGGUGGGCAGAUCCUAACGAAUGGGAAGCGUUCCGAAAGAAUCAUAACAAUGUCAUUCACUCUCAACCUGCGCUACAAAAAUAUUUGUAUAUGCAAUUUAUGUCGACAACUGUGAUAUCAUAUAUGUCCUAGAUGACAAGCUUAAUUUAAGAUUUUGGUCAGAGCCCACCUAAUGCAAGUGUCGGAUGAUUUUCCGCUGAUGGCAAGGAUCUAGGACGAUUUGGUGGUUCUUACUGCAUAGUAUUGUUGCUGCUCAAUAUACAAGUAUGACAGUUUCCUGCGAGGGGCUUAAACGGGGCUGCUGGCACCCUCAUACAACAGUCCUGCCCUGCCCUCCCAGUUCGAUUGUAAGGCUGGGUACAUUUUUCACCCUAUGUUUAGCUUUUAAAUUCAAGCGACUGCAUUUAUGAUUUUUACAGUAUAAGCAUGGAUGAUUUGAUUGUCUUA